UAUAGUGUUAUUUAUGCAGCUUUUUAGCAUGUAUAGGAAAAUAUAUAUCUCGUAAUUUGGAAAAAUUCAUGAUAAUACUAAAUAUCUUUUUUUUUGCUGUUAUUUUUAAUUUUUAUCUUACACUUGGAAGUUUGAUCAUAAGCUAGCUGCAUUUCUGGUUCUGCAGCCUUAAUGUUGAAUCAAGUUUGUCCUUUCAUACAAUUAUGCAGAAAUCAAUAGUGUAAUUUUGCUUAUUCUACUUAAUUGAUAUCAUACUUCAUUAUAUUAGUAUUAUCAUAUCUCUUAUAAUUUUUAUUCUGCAGGUUUUGAAAACUCAUGUAUCGUUGGAUAUGCAGGUCUUGAUUAUGUUUUUAUUCUGCAGGUCUUGAUUAAAACCCUUUGGUUGUGCAGAACAAAAAUUCUGCAGAAUAGUUGAAAUUCAUGUUUUACAAAGUGCAUCAGGCAUGUACAGAAAUCUGAAUUCAUUAGCAUUGGGAUUGACAAAGAAAGGUGGUUUUCUCAUGACUUGUUCUUGUUCAGGAGCUGUGACCCAAAUUGGUGUAGGCAAGGCGCAGCAUCAAUGGUAGGAAGAAAAAUCACAGUUGUGAGGCAGAGUAGUGCAGCUUCUGACCAUCCUAUUGACCCAUCCUACCCGGAAGGUCUUGAUUAAAACCCUUUGGUUGUCAUGCUCAGGAAGCUCCAUCAACCCCAGUGAAAAUCUCUUUUCUCUUGACUGCAAUGUUAGACUGGAUCCUUCUAGGCCCUUAAGCAAGCGGAAGCAUUGGGUUGUUGCUGAAAUUCUGAAGAAAGCACGUAUUUAUGUGCCACCAUCAGCUGAUAGCUUUGUGGGUUUAGAUGGCAAAACUGAAGCACAAACUUCUGCAGCCUCUUGAACUUAGAUCAAAAUCAAUGUGCCUUCUGGGUGAUUUGCAUCUGGAGAAUGUAUACUAUUCAGAAAUGAAAGAUGCUGGUUUCUUUGAUGCUGAUUGGGAGUGAUGCAGUGAUAUUCUGGCCGGAUGACUCUGUAUAUUAAAGUAACUUCCAGAUGACAAAAAUUUUUGUACUUGAAGAGAUGCUUGUUCGUUGUUUGUUGGACUCGUUCUUUUACAAUAGAUGUAGUGUGCCUCUGGCACUUGAAACGCUUUGUUGUGUACCAAUUAGGAACUGGUUAGACCGCAUUAAAAAAUAUAACUUUGUAUAAUACAGAAUAAGGGAAGCAUAAAGGUAUAUUUUAUGAUAUAAAUUUGAUACUAUUUGGAUCCAUUAUGUAUUUUGAGAUAUUUUAAGUUUCUUAGUGUUGAACUAUAAUAAUGUUUUGAACUAUUAGAUUGCAGAAUUAUGAAAUGAAGUUGAUGUGUA